rnacentral:rRNA from 1 species
GACGAACGCUGGCGGCGUGCUUAACACAUGCAAGUCGAACGGAAAGGCCUGCUUUCCCUUGUGGAUUGCGGGUACUCGAGUGGCGAACGGGUGAGUAACACGUGAGUGAUCUGCCCCCAACUUGGGUAUAAGCCUGGGAAACUGGGUCUAAUUCCCGAUAGGACUGCAGGGUGGUGCCUGUGGUGGAAAACGAUUUUCUAGUGGUUGGGGAUGAGCUCGCGGCCUAUCAGCUUGUUGGUGGGGUAGUGGCCUACCAAGGCGGCGACGGGUAGCCGGCCUGAGAGGGUGGACGGCCACAUUGGGACUGAGAUACGGCCCAGACUCCUACGGGAGGCAGCAGUGGGGAAUAUUGCACAAUGGGCGGAAGCCUGAUGCAGCGACGCCGCGUGGGGGAUGACGGCCUUCGGGUUGUAAACUCCUUUCGACCGCGAGGAAGCCACCUGGUUGGAAGGGUGGUGACGGUAGUGGUAGAAGAAGCACCGGCUAACUACGUG